GCUUCCGUCCCCGCAGCCGGGCGUCCGUUCCCCUCGCCUCAGCGUCUCCUCGCGCCCCGCAGCUUCGGCCGCGGCAGCGCAGGCCCCGCCGGCGGCGCCGCACUCGGAGAAUUAACUAGGCUUCAAAAUGAAAGUGAGGAAGAAGAGUCCUGGAAAGUAUUAAUUUGAACAGGAAUUAUUGUUGCUGUUAUGGAGUGAUGUGCAGAAGCUGGUGGGAAAGAAGAUUUGGUGAAGAGCUUCAGCACCAGCAAGAAUGAAAGGAUCAAAUACUAGCUAAAGGUUGCCUGUUCCUGCCCCUACCAUUCUGUUCCUCACCCAAGGAUGGGAACUCAUCAAUUUGAAGAGGUAUACGUGCAGAAAGAUUUGGAGCUUUCAUGAUUGAGGACUGCUAAAGUAAAGUGGCCAUGAAAAAGACAAAUCCAGGCCUGGGAUGCAUCAGACAGAGGAAGUCCAAGAG